rnacentral:ncRNA from 1 species
UAGCUUGUGGCGGCCAAGCGCUCAUACUUAGGUAGCGACGUCGCUUUUUAAUCCUUCGAUGUCGGCUCUUCCUAUCAUACCUACCGAAGCAGAAUUCGGUAAGCGUUAGAUUGUUCACCCACUAAACAUAAAGGUAUUAUGUUUGCAAUAUUGAACCUAUUGGUGGGGAUAGUCGGGUCCUGAGGGAGGGUUCAGGAUGACGCCGGCUAGUCGAUACAGCGCACAAAGCUGCAGGUGCUGUACGGCGACACAACCUGGUUCGGGGAAGGCUAAGGGCUCUCUCCAGUGAGUGCUGCCUAUGCUAAUCCCGAGGGGAGCUGCGUGAGAGUGAUCUCACGAUAGCCCUCGUAGAGCGCGGUAAAGGUGUGGGUGGUCUCGCUCUGUCGAGAUCGCUUCAGGGGCGUGCCAGCCCCACGGGAAACCGUGCCCAUUUGCAAAAGGACCUGCAGUCCCGAUCUUAUGGGGGGCGUUCGAGCUUAACGCGGAAAUGCUUGAGCGAUGCCUGGUAGUAUCCUAAUCAUAUAAUGGGGACGAUACAAACCACAAGGGCAGCCGGGCCGUGUGCGCAUUCAGAAUGCAUAAUGUGAUUAGAGCGAAUAGGGAAUGUGAGCUGGGUUUAGACCGUCGUGAGACAGGUU